rnacentral:rRNA from 1 species
UGGGGAAUAUUGGACAAUGGGCGAAAGCCUGAUCCAGCCAUGCCGCGUGUGUGAAGAAGGUCUUCGGAUUGUAAAGCACUUUAAGUUGGGAGGAAGGGCAGUAAGCGAAUACCUUGCUGUUUUGACGUUACCGACAGAAUAAGCACCGGCUAACUCUGUGCCAGCAGCCGCGGUAAUACAGAGGGUGCAAGCGUUAAUCGGAAUUACUGGGCGUAAAGCGCGCGUAGGUGGUUCGUUAAGUUGAAUGUGAAAGCCCCGGGCUCAACCUGGGAACUGCAUCCAAAACUGGCGAGCUAGAGUAGGGCAGAGGGUGGUGGAAUUUCCUGUGUAGCGGUGAAAUGCGUAGUUAUAGGAAGGAACACCAGUGGCGAAGGCGACCACCUGGGCUCAUACUGACACUGAGGUGCGAAAGCGUGGGGAGCAAACAGG